CUCUCUAGCAUGAGUCGGCUCUCGCGAGGUCAGAUGGCACCGUCCGCCCGCACGGCGCAAGUCGUUGCGGGGUCGUUUCGGUGGUCACUCGGCGCUCGUGGGGGUUAUGCCGGCCGCGGUGGGCCGCACUUCUCCCUCAGUAGGACGUCGCGACCCGUUGGACGGCGGUCGACGGCCCCGGCGGUAGCCCGGGACGCGGGAAAGCUUUGCCGUACCGUGCUCCCGGACCCCGGGUCGCCCGACCGAUCGUCAGACGGUAUGGAACGCAGGUGUCGGACCGCCACCGUUAAUCGGGCGUCCGGGCCGUUCGCAAGCUUGAGCGCACCAGGAUGACGGUACUUGUGCCCGGCUCUUCGGUGCGCCAAACUGUUGGCGGACGUGUCCUCGGACGGGUCUUGUAACACCGGUCAGCGAUGUCCGUUUAAGGUACUUAUCCGACCCGUCUUGAAACACGGACCAAGGAGUCUAACAUGUGCGCGAGUCAUUUGGGUGCUUGAAACACCUAAAGGCGCAAUGAAAUUGAAGGCCUGACUUGUCAGACCGAGGGAGGAUGGACGCGCGGCCCGAGUGGCGGCGUCCCGCACUCCCGGGGCGUCUCGUUCUCAUUGCGAGGAGAGGCGCACCCAGAGCGUACACGUUGGGACCCGAAAGAUGGUGAACUAUGCCUGGCCAGGACGAAGUCAGGGGAAACCCUGAUGGAGGUCCGUAGCGAUUCUGACGUGCAAAUCGAUCGUCAGAGCUGGGUAUAGGGGCGAAAGACUAAUCGAACCAUCUAGUAGCUGGUUCCCUCCGAAGUUUCCCUCAGGAUAGCUGGUGCUCGGAGGACGAAUCUCAUGCGGUAAAGCGAAUGAUUAGAGGCCUUGGGGCCGAAACGACCUCAACCUAUUCUCAAACUUUAAAUGGGUGAGACCUCCGGCAUGCUUGAAUCUCCUUUCUUGAUGCCGGAGCGCUCGGAUCCAGAGUACCAAGUGGGCCAAUUUUGGUAAGCAGAACUGGCGCUGUGGGAUGAACCAAACGCAGAGUUAAGGCGCCCGAACGACGCUCAUGGGAAACCAUGAAAUGCGUGGGUUGCUUGAGACAGCAGGACGGUGGCCAUGGAAGUCGGAAUCCGCUAAGGAGUGUGUAACAACUCACCUGCCGAAGCAACUAGCCCUGAAAAUGGAUGGCGCUGUAGCGUCGUGCCUAUACUCUGCCGUCAAUGGCAAA
rnacentral:rRNA from 1 species